rnacentral:SRP_RNA from 1 species
CCGUGCUAGGCGGGGAAUUAGCGGUGCCCUGCACCCGCAAUCCGCUCUAGCGGGGCCGAAUUCCCGUCUGAGGGACCGGCUUUCGGAGCCGGGUCGCCGCGGAAGGUGUUGACGGCCAGGUCCUGCGCAGUGCUGGUCCGCGAACCAGGUCAGGUCCGGAAGGAAGCAGCCUUAAGCGAUUCCCAGCAUGUGAUGCAGGCAAGCCUGGCCUGAGCUGACCGCGACUGACGCGUCCGGAGGCUUCGUCUCGAGGUCGGGUGCACGG